rnacentral:rRNA from 1 species
UGAUGUUAGCGGCGGACGGGUGAGUAACACGUGGGUAACCUGCCUGUAAGACUGGGAUAACUCCGGGAAACCGGGGCUAAUACCGGAUGGUUGUUUGAACCGCAUGGUUCAAACAUAAAAGGUGGCUUCGGCUACCACUUACAGAUGGACCCGCGGCGCAUUAGCUAGUUGGUGAGGUAACGGCUCACCAAGGCAACGAUGCGUAGCCGACCUGAGAGGGUGAUCGGCCACACUGGGACUGAGACACGGCCCAGACUCCUACGGGAGGCAGCAGUAGGGAAUCUUCCGCAAUGGACGAAAGUCUGACGGAGCAACGCCGCGUGAGUGAUGAAGGUUUUCGGAUCGUAAAGCUCUGUUGUUAGGGAAGAACAAGUACCGUUCGAAUAGGGCGGUACCUUGACGGUACCUAACCAGAAAGCCACGGCUAACUACGUGCCAGCAGCCGCGGUAAUACGUAGGUGGCAAGCGUUGUCCGGAAUUAUUGGGCGUAAAGGGCUCGCAGGCGGUUUCUUAAGUCUGAUGUGAAAGCCCCCGGCUCAACCGGGGAGGGUCAUUGGAAACUGGGGAACUUGAGUGCAGAAGAGGAGAGUGGAAUUCCACGUGUAGCGGUGAAAUGCGUAGAGAUGUGGAGGAACACCAGUGGCGAAG